rnacentral:rRNA from 1 species
UACGAAGGGGGCUAGCGUUGCUCGGAAUCACUGGGCGUAAAGGGUGCGUAGGCGGGUCUUUAAGUCAGGGGUGAAAUCCUGGAGCUCAACUCCAGAACUGCCUUUGAUACUGAAGAUCUUGAGUCCGGGAGAGGUGAGUGGAGCUGCGAGUGUAGAGGUGAAAUUCGUAGAUAUUCGCAAGAACACCAGUGGCGAAGGCGGCUCACUGGCCCGGUACUGACGCUGAGGCACGAAAGCGUGGGGAGCAAACAGG